CCGAGUUUACAACUCCCAAACCCCUGUGAACAUACCAAUAUGUUGCCUCGGCGGAUCAGCCCGCUCCCGGUAAAACGGGACGGCCCGCCAGAGGACCCCUAAACUCUGUUUUAUAGUGGAACUUCUGAGUAAAACCAUAAAUAAAUCA
rnacentral:misc_RNA from 1 species